rnacentral:lncRNA from 1 species
AAGAUUCAAGCAUGGUAUAAACCUCUCUCGAAUGAAUCUCAACAAUCUUAUCAUUAUCUCCUAAUCCAAUAGAUGUAAUCAAUUCCAAUGAAUCUUCCAGUCCAUUUUCUUCAUAAACACCCAAAAUCCUCUCAUCAUCUUGCAAUGUAUCUAUCUUGCGUAAUUGUCCUUCAAUAUUAUAUAAUCUUUUUCUUUCUUUUCUUUUAAAAUCAUCAAAUUUCUUAUACAUAAUAUUUCCAUUCUCCAAUAUACCAAUAAAACUCGCAUCAAAGGCACCUUCAUCUCUCGAGAGUACCUCUUCUUUUGUACCUCCAUAAUCUCGCUUUACAGUGGUACCUCCCCAAAAUCCUUAAAUCCUUCAACAAUCUUUGGCAAUGGUUUCUCCCUCAACCUAUCUCGAUUCCGUUCAUGGUUAGGAGGUACUGUUAGAAAUUGUACAGCUUUCCUCUCAUCUUCGCUCCGUAUCCUUGCAUAAGCAGAACCAUCGUCAAGUACUUUUGUUUCCAUCCGUGUUGCCGUGAUAUAAGGUUGUCAUAAAAUCA